AACAGGAGUAACUGCUAUCGAAAAUAAGAGAGAACGAAGGGCUGUGGAAAGGAAGGAUACAUACAUAAUGUCUCAUAUGUGACUUUUGACAGAUGCAAGACGAGUUGGUUGACAUGUCGCGGUUUGUGAGCGAUACCAAAAUGCAUGGCAUCGUUUUGGCAAAUGCCUUCGAUAAUUUUUACCCUUUCGAUUUGUUUACGUACAUGACAAUAAAAAUAACCUAUAAGGGGUUGCAACAACAAACCAUGGAGACAGAUUACAAUAAUUUUAAAGAUAAAAAAGGUAGAACGAAGGUAACAAAUAAACUAUUGCAAGUGAUAAUGAUUUGAAAUAGUAAUCGCAUUAAAGAAAAAGAAUUAUGACAGUUGGACAAACACAGCUGGCACCCAAGUUAUCACACCUUUCCAUAGUAUCAGCUCCCAACCCUCUUCUAUGUAUCAGCAACGAAUUUAAACGAGAAAGGAAUACCUACCCAUAUGGAAAAUG